CACGUAGUUGGCCGGUGCUUCUUCUGCGCCUACCGUCACCACGCCAAAACGUGGCUUCGUCGACACUGAAAGAGGUUUACAACCCGAAGGCCGUCAUCCCUCACGCGGCGUUGCUGGAUCAGGCUUCCGCCCAUUGUCCAAUAUUCCCCACUGCUGCCUCCCGUAGGAGUCUGGGCCGUGUCUCAGUCCCAGUGUGGCCGGUCACCCUCUCAGGCCGGCUACCCGUCGAAGCCUUGGUAGGCCAUUACCCCACCAACAAGCUGAUAGGCCGCGAGCACAUCCCCCACCGCUAAAGCGCUUUCCACCACCACCCAUGCAGGCAGCCGUGUGCACCACGUAUUAGACCCCGUUUCCGAGGCUUAUCCGCGAGUGAAGGGCAGAUUACUCACGUGUUACUCACCCGUUCGCCGCUCGUGUACCCCGAAGGGCCUUACCGCUCGACUUGCAUGUGUUAAGCACGCCGCCAGCGUUCGUCCUGAGCCAGGAUCAAACUCU
rnacentral:rRNA from 1 species